GGUUGAUUGGCUCUGCUUAAAAUUGUCCCUGGUGUCAGGAGAACUGGCAUGAAAGAUUUGCAGCGGAUGCCAAAAUGUCCAGCGGAGAAAGUUUAAGCAUCAGGCAAACAAAAAUGAACUAAUGGGAAGGGUCAUAAGAUUCAGAAGCCAUCUUGUGUUCAUUCGUGCAAAAUGCCCAGAGGAGCACGAACAGACUAAAUGGUAAUAUAUUUGAGGUUAGAACACAAAGUGCUUGAGUAACUUAGCGGAAGCCUCUGUGGAGGACAUAGAUCCUUCUUCAGAGUGGUGCAGCUGGUAGAGCUGCUAUCUUAUAAUGCUGUCUGUGUGGAGUUUGCACGUUCUCCCCGUGAUCGCGCGGGUUUCCUCUGCAGUUUUCUACCAUGUCCCAAAGACAAGAGGAUUUGUAGGUUAAUUGGCCUCUAUUAAUUACCCAUAAGGCGUAGGGAGUGGAUGAAAAAGUGGGAUAACAGAACUAAUGAACGGGUGAUCGAUGGUCGGCUGAAGGUCUGUUUACAUACUGUAUCUCUAAACUAAACUCAUCUUAAUUGCAGGUGCUACUGGUUUGCUGAUAUCAGUUCUGCAGAGCAUUAUUAAUGUGAUAAAACAAAGUUGUCACUCUGUUCUAAAUCUAUAUUUAUUCUAUGCACCUCAGGAAAUUGCAACUAGUAUUCCAUGGUGCAGCUGUGCCAGAGAACAUUAUCCUUAUAACUGUGAAUUAAUACUAAUCAAUCAUAUUACUCUCCAGCUUUUUUGUGUAACCUUCGAUUCUCCAGCAUCUGCAGUUCUUUCUUAAACAAUCAUAUUACUGCGUUGAAUUUUAGUAUCUGCAAAUUAAAAAUGCGUUUGGCCUAACCAUUGCUCCAUUAGUUUUGGAUGCAUCCAAUUACAACAUGAAUGCAGGUUAUUGUAGGACCAGUGACAGACUGUGUGGCUUGGCUGGCAGAUAUUAUAAGGACCUAAGAUUUGAAGAUGUUAAAUCCCAUCUUCCAAUAAUUUAUGUUUAAGAAGGAACUGCAGAUGCUGGAAAUUCUGUCUGAAGAAGGGUCUCGACCCGAAAUGUUGCCUAUUUCCUUCGCUCCAUAGAUGCUGUCUUACUCGCUGAGUUUCUCCAGCAUUUUUGUCUACCUUCCAAUAAUUGAUGGUCAUUAUUUUCAUCCAUAAUUUGUCAAACCAUGGCCGUGCUUGGAUUCCUCUCAAUUGGUGUCCCAGUGGAAGGCAAUGCAACUUCCAUCAAGGGUCCCGCACACAUUAUAUUGCCCAUACUCAAGUCCAGCUCUGAAUGAAAGUGCAUAAUACAUCUAUCUACUGUGCCCCUUACAACAGAUGGAGGAGGAAGGGAAGAGAAGAAAGCAGGAAUGAAAAGAUUUAAAAAAAGCAGUUGGGGAAAAGGAUUAAAUGAGGGGUCCCCCACAGCUCUGUGUAAAAAAAACUUUUCUCCCUCUCCCUUUACAGCUCCGCCCUCUAGUGUUGAACAUUUUCACCCUGGGGAGAAAGGUUCUGACUGUCCUCCCUUAAUGCCACACCGACCCAUAGCUGGGCAGCAUGGUGGCACAGCGGUAGAGUUGCUACCGUACUGCGCAGAGAUCUGAGAUUUAUCCUGACUACGGGUGCUGCCUGGACGGAGUUUGCACGUUCUCCCUGUGACCGCGUGGAUUUUCCCUGGGUGUUCCGGUUUCCCCCCCCCACACUCCAAAGACGUACAGUGUUUCAGACUUCAAUAGACUUGACAGCAAUAUCAAAGGCUCACAAUCCUGCGAAUGAAGAUGUUUCUGCUCUGCUCGGUCCCACAUAAACACAAAAAGCCAAUGACAAGGAAAGUGCUGAAGACAUUCAGCAGGUCAGGCAGCACUCCAUGUGGCCUGAAAACAGACGGAACACUUCAUCAGACCUGGUGGAGCGAGGAAAUGAGCUUUACAUUGCAGAGAGGGAGGGGUAGAGAGAACAAAAGUAGUAUUUGUCAUCGGGUGUACUUCAUUUUUAUUUCAGAUUUCCAGCAUCUUAAGAUUUUUAAUUUUCAACAAAAUAUUGAAUGUUGUCCAAAGUGCAUAUUGUCUCUCCCACCCCAUCGCUCACAUAGCUUAUACUCGUGGGUGGAACAAGUCAAGAAAUGAAACUUUACUGUAUUAGAAACAUACUUUAAAUAUUUUAAUAAAGGUGAAACCAGU